UCAAACAUGGCUUAUUGUUAAUAAUUUUAGGUCAAUCUGCUCAAUGAUUAAUUAAAUAGCUGCAGUAUACCUGACUGUACAAAGGUAGCAUAAUCAAUUGUCUUUUAAUUAAAGGCUGGAAUGAAAGAAUUAAUGAAAUAUAUUCUGUCUCAAUUAUAAUUAAUGAAAUUAAAUUUUUAGUUAAAAUGCUAAAAUAUUUUUAUGGGACGAUAAGACCCUAUAGAAUUUUAUAUUAAUAAUUAAUUAUUUAUUAUUAAUAUUUUUUAUUAGUUGAUUAUUAAUAUUUUAUUGGGAGGAUUAUUAAAUUUAUUAAACUUUAAUUUUAUAAUUUCUAUAAUGUUAGAAUAAAUUAAAGAUAUUUAUUAAAAAUUUAAGAAUAAAUUACCUUAGGGAUAACAGCGUAAUAUUCUUUUGAGAGAUCUUAUUGAUAAAGAUGAUUGCGACCUCGAUGUUGAAUUAAGAUAAAUUUUAAAUGCAGGAGUUUAAAUAUUAAGUUUGUUCAACUUUUAAAAUCUUACAUGAUUUGAGUUCAGAUCGACGUGAGUCAGGUUGGUUC
rnacentral:rRNA from 1 species